CCUGCGGGCGGCAGCAGUGGGGAAUAUUGGACAAUGGGCGAAAGCCUGAUCCAGCCAUGCCGCGUGUGUGAAGAAGGCCUUCGGGUUGUAAAGCACUUUCAGUGGGGAAGAAAGCCUUGGGGCUAAUACCCUCGAGGAAGGACAUCACCCACAGAAGAAGCACCGGCUAACUCCGUGCCAGCAGCCGCGGUAAUACGGAGGGUGCGAGCGUUAAUCGGAAUUACUGGGCGUAAAGCGCGCGUAGGCGGUCUGAUAAGCCGGUUGUGAAAGCCCCGGGCUCAACCUGGGAACGGCAUCCGGAACUGUCAGGCUAGAGUGCAGGAGAGGAAGGUGGAAUGCCCGGUGUAGCGGUGAAAUGCGUAGAGAUCGGGAGGAAUACCAGUGGCGAAGGCGGCCUUCUGGACUGACACUGACGCUGAGGUGCGAAAGCGUGGGUAGCAAACAGGAUUAGAUACCCGGGUAGUC
rnacentral:rRNA from 1 species